rfam:Salmo salar isolate Sally breed double haploid chromosome ssa04, whole genome shotgun sequence.
GGCUCAGUUGGUAGAGCAUGGUGUUUGCAAUGCCAGGGUUGUGGGUUCGAUUCCCAC